rnacentral:rRNA from 1 species
CGAGUGAACCGGGAAGAGCUCAAAUUUGAAAUCUGGCGUGCUCAGUGCGUCCGAGUUGUAAUCUAUAGAAGUGUUUUCCGUGCCGGACCGUGUCCAAGUCCCUUGGAACAGGGUAUCAAAGAGGGUGAUAAUCCCGUACUUGACACGACGACCGGUGCUCUGUGAUACACUUUCUACGAGUCGAGUUGUUUGGGAAUGCAGCUCAAAAUGGGUGGUGAGUUCCAUCUAAAGCUAAAUAUUGGCGAGAGACCGAUAGCGAACAAGUACCGUGAGGGAAAGAUGAAAAGCACUUUGGAAAGAGAGUUAAACAGUACGUGAAAUUGUUGAAAGGGAAACGAUUGAAGUCAGUCGUGACUGAGAGGCUCAGCCGGUUCUGCCGGUGUAUUCCCCUCAGUCGGGUCAACAUCAGUUUUGUCCGGUGGAUAAGGGCAGUUGGAAGGUGGCACCCUCGGGUGUGUUAUAGCCAGCUGUCGCAUACAUUGGAUGAGACUGAGGAAUGCAGCUCGCCUUUAUGGCCGGGGUUCGCCCACGUCCGAGCUUAGG